rnacentral:rRNA from 1 species
GCGAGUCGCGAGAAUUAGAUUCUCGGCGUACCGCUCAGUAACACGUGGGCAUUCUGCCCUAUGCUGGAUAAUAACCUCGGGAAACUGAGAAUAAUGAUCCAUAGUUCACUACGCCUGGAACGGUGAGUGGAUGAAAGCUCCGGCGGCAUAGGAUGGGCCUGCGGCGUAUCAGGUUGUAGGGGGUGUAACGUACCCUCUAGCCCUCUACGCGUACGGGUGUUGGGAGACAUAGCCCGGAGAUGGAUUCUGAGACACGAAUCCAGACCCUACGGGGUGCAGCAGGCGCGAAAACUUGGCAAUGCGAGAAAUCGUGACCAGGGAACUCCAAGUGCAUCGGGUAAGACCGGUGCUUUUCUUGACUCUAAAUAGGUCUUGGAAUAAGGGGUGGGUAAGGACGGUGCCAGCCGCCGCGGUAAUACCGGCGCCUCAAGUGGUAGUCGCUUUUAUUGGGCCUAAAACGUCCGUAGCCGGUCUGAUACAUUCGUGGGUAAAUCAACCAGCUCAACUGGUUGAAUUCUGCGAGGACGGUCAGACUUGGGACCGGGAGAGGUGUGGGGUACGCUCAGGGUAGGGGUAAAAUCCUGUCAUCCUGAGCGGACCACCUGUUGCGAAGGCGCCACACUAGAACGGAUCCGACGGUCAGGGACGAAGCCUAGGGGCACGAACCGGAUUAGAUACCCGGGUAGUCCUAGGUGUAAACGCUGUGGACUUGAUGUUGGGGGUGCUCCGAGCACUCUCAGUG